UGGCAAAGCUUACUGUUGGGAUGAGAAGUGAUAUACCCAAAUAUGGUGUGGGUGGUGGGAAAUUGAAAAUUGAUUGUAGUUCGCAAAGAUAAGUGGGUUUCAUCUGGGCUGAUUGGUGGACCUACCAAUCGAGAAGACCCUCAAACUGUGACUGAGCUUAUUGAACCAGAGUCAAACCGAUGGAAUGAACAGAAAUUGAAUGAACUUUUUGAUGAAGAAAGAGUAAAGGAAAUACUUACUAUCCCACUCAGUUCAACCAUGAGGGAUGACAAGCUUAUUUGGAAGGGUGCUAAAUCAGGAACCUACAAUUUGAAAAAUGGCUACCACAGCAUAAAUACCAUAGAAGAACAACAUCCCACAAACCAAGCCUCAUCAUCAUUCCAGCCACCAAAAUCACUUUGGACACAAAUCUGGUCACUACAAUCUCCUCCUAAAAUACGAAACUUCAUGUGGAUUGUAUGCCCAAACGCCUACUGCGCAAGUGGACGAGCAAAAUCUGGCCUGAUCAAAGACUGAUAAUCAGCACAUGCUCGCGAAAUAUCACUCGAAUGGACAAAUAGGUGUCAGGAAAUUUUUAAGACGAGCAAGAUGAAACCGUCUCGGGAGCUCGUCACCGAUGCCCUGUGGCAGAUAUGGAAUCCAGGAACUCCUUCAUCUUCCAAGCUCGUAAGCGGGAUCCCAUCUCGAUUAUUGAUACCACACAUGCAAUCAACACGAAUGAUCAUAUGUGGAACCCUAAAAUGAGGAGGAAAAAAUAGGGAAACGAAAGCUUAUCUUCUCGGCAAGACCAAUGGGUUCCACCGGCAAGAACAUCCAUCAAGCUCAACGCCGACGGCUCUUGGGUAGAAGGAAGUGUAGAAGGAUUAGUGGCCGGAGUUUGUAGAGAUCAAAAUGGGUUUUUGCUUGUUGGUUUUGCUAAGACAGUUCAUGCCGCUUCUGCAAGUCAUGUAGAAGCUUUUGCUGUUGAAGGACUUUUGUACUUGAUGCGCAUACCUGACUUGUGGAGGCUUCAAG
rnacentral:lncRNA from 1 species